rnacentral:rRNA from 1 species
CUUGACAUCCACGGAAGUUUUCAGAGAUGAGAAUGUGCCUUCGGGAACCGUGAGACAGGUGCUGCAUGGCUGUCGUCAGCUCGUGUUGUGAAAUGUUGGGUUAAGUCCCGCAACGAGCGCAACCCUUAUCCUUUGUUGCCAGCGGUCCGGCCGGGAACUCAAAGGAGACUGCCAGUGAUAAACUGGAGGAAGGUGGGGAUGACGUCAAGUCAUCAUGGCCCUUACGACCAGGGCUACACACGUGCUACAAUGGCGCAUACAAAGAGAAGCGACCUCGCGAGAGCAAGCGGACCUCAUAAAGUGCGUCGUAGUCCGGAUUGGAGUCUGCAACUCGACUCCAUGAAGUCGGAAUCGCUAGUAAUCGUGGAUCAGAAUGCCACGGUGAAUACGUUCCCGGGCCUUGUACACACCGCCCGUCACACCAUGGGAGUGGGUUGCAAAAGAAGUAGGUAGCUUAACCUUCGGGAGGGCGCUUACCACUUUGUGAUUCAUGACCGGGGUGAAGUCGUAACAAGGUAACCGUAGGGGAACCUGCGGUUGGAUCACCUCCUUA